rnacentral:rRNA from 1 species
GAUGAACGCUGGCGGCGUGCCUAAUACAUGCAAGUCGAGCGAACAGACGAGGAGCUUGCUCCUCUGACGUUAGCGGCGGACGGGUGAGUAACACGUGGAUAACCUACCUAUAAGACUGGGAUAACUUCGGGAAACCGGAGCUAAUACCGGAUAAUAUAUUGAACCGCAUGGUUCAAUAGUGAAAUACGGUUUUGCUGUCACUUAUAGAUGGAUCCGCGCCGCAUUAGCUAGUUGGUAAGGUAACGGCUUACCAAGGCAACGAUGCGUAGCCGACUUGAGAGGCUGAUCGGCAACACUGGAACUGAGACACGGUCCAGACUCCUACGAGAGGCAGCAGUAGGGAACCUUCCGCAAUGGGCGAAAGCAUGACGGAGCAACGCCACGUGAGUGAUGAAGGUCUUCGGAUCGUAAACCUCUGUUAUUAGGGAAGAACAAAUGUGUAAGUAACUAUGCACGUCUUGACGGUACCUAAUCAGAAAGCCACGGCUAACUACGUG